ACUAGGGAUCGGGCGAUGUUAUUUNGGGACUCGCUCGGCACCUUACGAGAAAUCAAAGUCCGGGUUCUGGGGGGAGUAUGGUCGCAAGGCUGAAACUUAAAGAAAUUGACGGAAGGGCACCACCAGGAGUGGAGCCCGCGGCUUGAUUUGACUCAACACGGGGAAACUCACCAGGUCCAGACACAAUAAGGAUUGACAGAUUGAGAGCUCUUUCUUGAUUAGUAGG
rnacentral:rRNA from 1 species